rnacentral:lncRNA from 1 species
CCUAUUCUCCUGGUACCACCUGGUGCCAUUAAGCAGGUUAACGUACGGAGUCUACCUCACACACUUCCUCAUCUUACAGUUCUUAUUCUUCUCAAUGCGAACUACAUUUAACUUGGAUUUGUUUGUAUCGGGUAUGGAGACAUCAGGGGUGAUGGUAUACAGCUUGGCAGCGAGCCUCCUCGUCUGGCUGCUUGUGGAAGCGCCUCUUAUCAACAUCAACAAUAUGAUGAUCGAUUACACAUGGCGAAAACAAACUGUGAACACAUCGGAUACUCGUAAAUGUAUCAACGGAGGAAAGAAAGGUUUAUAAAUUAUAUUUAUAAUAAGCACAUUAGCAAAAUUAAAAAUAACAAAAUUUUAACUCGAGAUACGUUUAAAAUUCACUAUAAGUACA